GGGCGCGUAGUGGAGUGGUUACCACGUUGGUCUUCGAUACGAUUACGUAAUCCUCAACCAAAGUUCGUCGGUUCGAUCCCGGCCGUGCUCG